AAGUAUGUGGCUAGAGGUUUUCUUUCCAUUUUAAAAUACUAUCUCUUAUUAUCCUUAUAAAAGCUAUUUAUCAACAUACUCUUUUUCAGUAUACAAUGCUGCUGGGUUUUUUCCUUUAAAAAGUCUUUAUCUUUCACUUGUAUAUUGAACAGGUCCUGAACUGUGUGAAUAAAAAUAUUGCAUGCAAUUCUGAACCCUGACUUGAAAAUAGGACACAUCUUCAAAGACAGUAAGGAAAAGAAAUAUAGAGUGAGAAGAGAGAAAGACUGGAAGAGGAUAGGUUCUUCUUAAGCCAUGACCCGGAAACAGGACAGCAUGCACUCCAACGUGGCUGGCUGGAACUCAAACUCAGCCACACCCAACUCCAAACAAAUCUGGGAAAGAGGUUCUAGCUGAGAAGAAAAGAAAGCAUGAAUUCUAAUUAACAGCUUGCAUUCUCUGCUACAGGUUAUCUAAUGAGAGACAGAAAGGCAGACAAAGAGAAGUGUUUCCUUGUCUUCUCCUGGGAGAAGAAUAUGACCAUAGAACAUUUCUAGCUAUCUUGGGAGGCAGAUCUUCUCUAAACAUGAGAGAACUUCAUGAGCUGGAUUCUCCUCAUUGUUGAUAUGCUAAAGGGGAAACAACAGAAUCUGUAAAAUACCAUCCCAAGCCUUGUUUAUAUGAUUAUUCUUCGUGCUGUAAAAUUCUAGUGUGCAUGUCAGGAGCUGAAGAGUAUGUUCUACUGGCUUUCUUUCUGUAACCAAAUCCUAAUUUUCUUCUAGGCAGAUGGAUUCCUCAGGUGAAUUAGGGCAAAGUUAAUGUGCUCACAGAGACAACAGGGAAAAGAAAUCAAUAAUAAAAUAUUGACCACAAUACAUAUCAUGUGUGGGUAUCCCUAAGAAAUAUUUCAAGGCCAUGGAAAAAUGUGGAGACUCCAGAAUGAAUGAUGUAAAUUUACUUACAAGUGUGAUUUUUAUUCAAAUUCUAGUUACUCCUUGGCUGAAAUAGAGUGAAAAUUUAGAAAUAUUUGCAAAUGGGGUGUCUUCCCAUUACAAUGAAAACAUCUCCACAGUCACCAUAUAAUCAGGCACCCUGCAGCUAUCUCACUUAAGACAUGAUACUGCCCAGUCACCUAAGCCUCAAUUUCAUAUAUAAUCUUAUUCUGCAUAUAAACCAAUAUUCUUACAAGAGCUUUUUGUUUGGUGAUAUUUUUUUGGUUCGGUUUUUGUUUGUCUCAUCAAGUCUCCAUCUAACUCUGUCUAAAUUUAUCAAAAAUAUUUUAAGAUAAAGACUCAUUGUCUUUAUUUGAUGUUAAGAUGUAUUAAUUAUGAGCAAUUCUAAUGUGGUUAGCAAGUUUGAGCUUUAAAAUAGCUUUUUAUGUCUCAUUGAUGGAUUUGAAUAACUUUCACUCAUAAACUGCCCAUUAAAAUUUCUGUUCCGUUUAUUUGUAAG
rnacentral:lncRNA from 10 species